UGUUUAGUGUUGAAGGUCAACAAGUUAAUUGCAAAUUAAUUUUAAGUGAGUUCGAUUCUCAUCUAAGCAU
rnacentral:tRNA from 1 species